rnacentral:lncRNA from 1 species
AAAGGCUCCAUUAGGUGACAGUUAGAGGAUUGCUUUUUCAAGUGGAAAACGAGUUGAGGCAAGUAACUUUCCCCUCUAUCUCUUAAGCAACUUAUUGAUAAAUGAUGAUAAGUACUGUCACCCCUGAACUACCUUUUGAAUUAUGAAAGCCUGAUUUCCUUUAUCAUUCAAUAUAUUGUCUCACUUUUGAAUGCGAGCUCUUUCAUGAAGAUCAUGCUUCUGUAUCCAGUAUAUUCUUAUCUUGAAAUACCUAUCUUUUGAUCGAAUGAUAUUUUCUUUCUAUAUACUUGACCACCCCAAGUAAAUGGAAUUUGUUUCUGUAAAUGAAACUAAGAAUGAUUUUAGACUUGCAAGUGAUUGCAAGUGUCCUAAUGAUUUGAAAGGUUGGCAAGGUUUUUGAAAAAAAAAAGAUAUUUCUUUUAAAGAAGAAAGUUUUUCCAAUUUAAUGGUUUUCCACGGAAUUCUAUAGAUUGGAGGCGUAAGUGGCCGAGUAACGCCGGUCCAGCUAAUUGAUUAUGAAGACCAGUGAGGGCUGGCACAUUAUGAAGACCAGUGAGGGCUGGCAUUUGAAAGACUAAAUAUAAUGUCUUUCCGGGUACCCUAUUCACGUCCAGAGGGACUGUAAAGUCCGGUAUGGGGAUUGUACGUGGCUGAUCACCCGUGCAAUCCAGAGUGUUAUACACUCCAAUCGAGUAAAAUGUUUUAUGAAAAGAAUUGUCCAGGUGUUGGACUCUUUUGAAAAUGAGAUAUUUUUGUGAUGGAAAAUAAAGUUUUGAUGAAAGGAUUGAUUUGAAGGAAAAUGUUAUGAAAAGGGUAAUUUUACGAAAGUUUUGAAAAGAGGAAUGUUUUAUGAAUUAUUCAUUUACAAAAAUAGUUUUUAUGUAAUGAUCCUGAACUUUGAAUCUCUAUUAUGACCUUUGUAACUUUAGUCUAUAAUCGAAAACUCUCCAUCUUAUUUUGUUGAAUAGUUUAAUUUAUUUGUUCCUUAUAGUUACUUGAUGAGCUUUUGUAGCUCAUUCUGUUAUUUAUCUAACCCUGACAGCUAAGCAAGAGGAAGAUGGCCAGUCCUAGGUGCUCAGUUCAUUAAACUGUCUACAUCCCCCUCUCUGUUUCGUUAGAUUACUUUACCAGCUCAGGUAGAGGACGCUUUGGAUAGUUAGUGGGGAGUAAGUAUGUUAGUAUGGACCGUUGUAAACAGUACCUUUGAGAUGUUUUAUAUAAUUCCAAGUCGGAAUUAUGGUUGAUGCUAUUUAUUAAGGGUUUGUAAUAAGUUUAUAACUUAUUAUUUUGGUUAGUAGUUGUAACUUGUUUCAUACCAUCACCUGUUAAAGAUCCUUGUGGUGUAAAGGGGUUGAGUAUUUAUAUUGCUAAAUCCAGG